CCCGAACCUGUCUUAGCAAUGGCAACUAUAUCUCUGCUCUGUAAAGCAAUUGGCCAUGAUUGUGCCUGAAUUGGAGUUGGGGCAGAGAACCCUGCAUUGUGUACCUCUCUCAGAAUCUCAGAAGGAAAUCCGGUAUCUUCAAAUGAUGUAAGAGGCGGAGGCACUUCAUCUCCAGUAACAGUAAUUUCAUGCCGACGACGAUAAGCCUCUGCAGAAAGAAUGCUCCCUCCAGCUGAAGAACCAUGUCCUCUAGCAGAAGAUCCAGAAGGUCCAUUACUUGUUCCACCUGGAACAUUUUGAGAUUGAACUGCUCCACCUCUUGCAACCUGGCCACUCUUUGCUCCAGCAUCAAAUUUUGAUCCAGCAUUAUUGCCUCUGCCAUACCUAUCAUCUUCUUUAACAGGGCCAUAUCCAUAGCGAGAAGAUUGCUGAACUUGAACUGAUGAACUUAUGGGCACUGAAGAAGACUUUGAUGGAUGAGCUGAGACAGUAGGCCUCUCAUACUGAGUGACAUUAGUCUCAGGAUUCCAAAAAUAAAGGUACCCAGUUUUGCCAUCAACUAAACCUCUCCAAGGUUUGGGGAGAGUAGGGUCCUCUGGUGCAUAUCGUGGACCAGCUGAGGAAGCAGUUGCGGUAGCAGCCAUUGCACAGGAACCCACCAACACAACCCAGACGAUAUGGUUUCGAUGGAGGAGGAGAGAAGGAAUCGAAGCAAGAAAUGCGUUGGUCCUUUCAACGUAAUAAUAGAACUUCAC
rnacentral:misc_RNA from 1 species